rnacentral:lncRNA from 1 species
CUUUUUCAAGAGAGAUUAGACUUGGACAGGAAGAAAAUGGAGUCUCACUCUGUCACCCAGGGUGGAGUGCAAUGGUGUGAUCUCGGCUCACUGCAACCUCCGCCUCCCAGGUUCAAGCGAUUUUCCUGCCUCAGCCUCCCAAGUAGCUGGGAUUACAGGACAAAACAAUUGAAGAGCUCAGGCAAUCUUUAGCAAAUGUUGAAAGGAUGAAAGAGAAGGCAAAUGUUGAAACGAUGAAAGAGAAGGCAGUUGUGAAAACAGAAAACUUGAAAACUACAUUAGACUCUGCAGAGCAAAAGGCAAGAUCAGACAAAGAGAAGACCCAGCAGAUGUUAGAUGCUGUCACUUCUGAGCCCCCAACAGCAAAGAGCGCACCUGAAGAAGUAUCAGGACAAGAACAAGAGGUUUUUUCAAAAUAGUAAAAUUAAAAUUAAUUUAGUUGAAGUGAUAAACACCCACGCCUACUUAGACUGUAACUAACUUGACAAAAGGGAAUAUUGGCUUAUGGAAUCAUGAGUUAAACAACCUAACCUCCAGGUGGGCGGAGAUACACCUGGGCCCCAGGAUCAGCACCUGGAACCUACAAGCCCUUUCUCAUGGUCACUUCUUGGCAUCUAUGUGUCAGCUCAUCUGUCUGACUGCUGGUUGGUUUUCUCCAUGACAGGAAACAUGAUCACUGGCAACCAUGGAGAUUUAUAUGGAGUUUCUGUGACAGGAGAGAGAAUCCCAAGAAAAGGUCUUAUUGACCCAGUUUAGGUCAAGUGCUUAUCCCUGCUAAACCCACAGUGGCUAGGGAUGGGAUAUAUGAUUAUUUUAUAUACUCUAACAAGUGACCAGGAGUGUAGAGUUCUAUGACAUCAUGUGUCAUCAUGUGAAGCUCAGGGGAAACCAUGUGUGUCACUUUCUGUGUCACUGUCUAGGAGAAUAUAGUAGUGCUUCUUAACUUGCUUAGAUUUUCACUAUACUUAUAAAGCAAAUAUUUCGAGAGAAUUUUUUAAAGGCCAACUGAUCAUCUGGGGCAAUUUUUAAAUUAUAUGUCACUUCUCCAUAUAUUAGUUGCUUAUGAAACUUAUACCUUAAGAUAUGCUUAAAACAUAAAGUCAUGAUAUUAGCAUUUUCACUUUUUUCUCUCUUUAACUUCUGUGUGUUCACUUUCUUGAUUGUUUCUAUUCCUCUCUUUUAUUUUUUGAGACAGAGUCUCACUCUGUUGCCCAGGCUGGAGUGCAGUAGCAUGCUCAUGGCUCACUGCAGCCUCGACCUCCUGAGCUAAAGCAGUCCUCUCACUGCAGCCUUCCGAGUAGCUGGGGCUAUAGGCGUGCCACCACCACACCUAAUUUUUGUAUGUUUUGUAGAGACAGGGUUUCACCAUGUUGCCCAGGCUGGUCUCAAACUCCUGGGCUCAAGCAAUUCUCCUGCCUUGGCUUCCCAAAGUGCUGGGAUUACAGGUGUGAGCC